rnacentral:rRNA from 1 species
AGCUCCAAUAGCGUAUAUUUAAGUUGUUGCAGUUAAAAAGCUCGUAGUUGGAUUUCGGAUGGGAUCUGCCGGUCCGCCUUUGAGGUGUGUACUGGUAGGUCCUAUCUUGUUGUCGGGGACCAGCUCCUGGGCUUCACUGUCCGGGACUGGGAGCCGACGAAGUUACUUUGAGUAAAUUAGAGUGUUCAAAGCAAGCCUACGCUCUGAAUAUAUUAGCAUGGAAUAACACGAUAGGACUCUGGCUUAUCUUGUUGGUCUGUGAGACCAGAGUAAUGAUUAAGAGGGACAGUCGGGGACAUUCGUAUUUCAUUGUCGGAGGUGAAAUUCUUGGAUUUAUGAAAGACGAACUUCUGCGAAAGCAUUUGUCAAGGAUGUUU